GACAGAGGGUGCAAACGUUGCUCGGAAUUACUGGGCGUAAAAGCGCGUGUAGGCGGGUUUCCAAGUCAGAUGUGAAAUCCCCGGGCUCAACCCGGGAACUGCAUUUGAAACUGGGAGUCUUGAGUAUCGGAGAGGAAAGCGGAAUUCCUGGUGUAGAGGUGAAAUUCGUAGAUAUCAGGAGGAACACCGGUGGCGAAGGCGGCUUCUGGACGAUAACUGACGCUGAGACGCGAAAGCGUGGGGAGCAAACAGG
rnacentral:rRNA from 1 species